GCCGACAUAGCUCAAUUGGUAGAGCACCGCACUUGUAAUGCGGGGGUUG
rnacentral:tRNA from 1 species